CAGGUCUCUCAACACCCCUGGUACAGUGUCUCAGAUCACAGGUCUCUCAUCAACACCCCUGGUACAGUGUCUCAGGUCACAAGUCUCUCAUCAACACCCCUGGUACAGUGUCUCAGGUCACAGGUCUCUCAUCAACACCCCUGGUACAGUGUCUCAGGUCUCUCAUCAACACCC